rnacentral:rRNA from 1 species
UGCCUUAGUAGCGGCGAGUGAGCGGCAUAGCUCAAUUUGAAUCUGGCACCUUCGGUGUCCGAGUUGUAAUUUGAAGAAGGUAUCUUUGGUUUUGGCUCUUGUCUAUGUUCCUUGGAACAGGACGUCACAGAGGGUGAGAAUCCCGUGCGAUGAGAUGCCCAAUUCCAUGUAAAGUUCCUUCGACGAGUCGAGUUGUUUGGGAAUGCAGCUCUAAGUGGGUGGUAAAUUCCAUCUAAAGCUAAAUAUUGGCGAGAGACCGAUAGCGAAAAAGUACUGUGAAGGAA